AUGGUCAAAAACACCCGUUUUCAGUUGACGAUUCAAUAACUUGAUGGCAACCAAAUACACUACAGUCUGCGUCGCAUCAGAAGUGACUAAUGAUGCUAAAACGUAAUUCCUUAUACAGUACAGGAAUGAUCUCAAAUCAAAACACACUCGUCUACGACUUGCAUAUACUUCAAUAAUAUAUAACCCAAUAUUAUGUAAAUUGGUAGACUAUUCAUAGCAUGUCCCUGUUGACUUAAGGACAUCAAGAAUUCUUUAAUGAAUAAUAUAUAGAGCAUAUUCUUCCUGUUCAGACCAACAACAAAAAAAAUACAAUUAACAGAUGUGACGUCUUUCCCCACAGAAUCUCAAAAGUGGUGCAUGGUGCGAGAAACGCUGCGAUGAAUGAGCAGAAGAAUUUAUGAAUGAAAGCUGUAGUAGAUACGUAAGAUGACAAACUCCAAAAACAUCGGAGACAAAUUCUCGUUGGGGUUCACACCAUCAACAAAACGUAUACACCCUGGAGGAAACCAAAUGCAAGUUUUUAAGCCACGAAGACGCGAGCCAGGUAUAAUUGAUGCAACUCUGGAAUCGCAGAAGACAAGGGAGAACAAAAGGAAGGCAGCAAUGAAGAAUUAUUACGAAUCUAAACAGUUGUUGUCGCUAACCAAACACUUGGAUACGAUGAAGGCAGCCUACUUUGAAAAGAUGAAACGCGAGCAGUAUCGCGUAGGAAGAUCUCUUUGGGAACUGGAGCAAAGGAAAAGAAAGAUAAUGCGUCAGAUCUACGAGCACCCACGAGCAACAACAAACAAUUUACGAAACCCGGGCCUUUUUUAUUUCACCAAACAGAAAACGCAAAAAAGAUCGCGGAAAAGACCAUUGCCGGAAAAGACAUGCGAAUGAUCAUUACACGGAUUGUUAAAACUUUUGGGAAGAGAAUCAUCAUGAAACACGUUCAAAGAAAUUAUAUGUGCAAAGUAAAGGUAAUAUUACACAAAAAAUAUCGCUACGAAAAUUGUAAAUCUAUUAUAGACCUACUGGAAGGUUAACGCUUUUUUGCCCAACGUUGCUUCGGAGCAACAAUCAUCGAACACGAUGGACUUCCAUCAUCCAAAAAAAUUCAUGCAGUAAAGAGUUAAAGACGUAUUUCUAUGUAAAUAUUAUUGUAAAAUCAUGCAAUAGGAAUAGAUUAUACAAUAAAAUCGUCAUGACAUUAA